rnacentral:tRNA from 3 species
GGGCUCGUAGCUCAACUGGUAGAGCGCCCGGCUCAUAACCGGGCGGUCGGUGGUUCGAGUCCACCCGAGCCCACCA